rnacentral:tRNA from 1 species
GGUUUUUUAGUUUAAAAAAAAUAGUGGUUUUGUAAAUCAUAGAUGGUACUUGUUACUAUGAACCU